ACUGCUGCUCUAACCAUAUCAUCUACUCAAAUGUCCCUGUUUCCUCUAUUCCCUAUAACAGGAUGAGCAAGUUCAUCUUUUCCAUCCUCUUCCUGCUUUGCCUUACAGUUGAAGAUAUCUAGAAGAUAUCUGAGGACAAAACAAUUCUCAUGAAUUAGAGGGAAAUAAUUUCCUAAAUAGAACCAUUGAUGAAUCAAACCAUGCUGAGAUCGAGCCCCAAAUUGACUGGAUUUGGAGGACCCACAACUCAGUCCUUUGAGUUUAAUCAAAAGAAUCAAGGAAGGGAGAAAAGGAGAGAGAAAAGAAAAAAGCAGAUGUUAGAAAAAGUGGCCAGAAUACUAGGUUGAGGAGAG